rnacentral:rRNA from 1 species
AGUGAACGCUGGCGGUAGGCCUAACACAUGCAAGUCGAACGGCAGCACAGUAAGAGCUUGCUCUUACGGGUGGCGAGUGGCGGACGGGUGAGGAAUACAUCGGAAUCUACUUUUUCGUGGGGGAUAACGUAGGGAAACUUACGCUAAUACCGCAUACGACCUCCGGGUGAAAGCAGGGGAUCUUCGGACCUUGCGCGAUUGAAUGAGCCGAUGUCGGAUUAGCUAGUUGGCGGGGUAAAGGCCCACCAAGGCGACGAUCCGUAGCUGGUCUGUGAGGAUGAUCAGCCACACUGGAACGUGGACACGGACCAGACGCCUACGGGAGGCAGCAGUGGGGAAUAGUGGACAAUGGGCGCAAGUCUUGUCCAGCCAUACCGCGUGGGAGAAGGAGGCCUUCGGGGUGGAAAGCCCGUUUGUUGGGAAAGAAAAGCAGCAGGUUAAUACCCCGCGGGUCUGACGGUACCCAAAGAAGAAGCACCGGCUAACUUCGUG